AUUGAACGCUGGCGGCAGGCCUAACACAUGCAAGUCGAGCGGUAGAGAGAAGCUUGCUUCUCUUGAGAGCGGCGGACGGGUGAGUAAUGCCUAGGAAUCUGCCUGGUAGUGGGGGAUAACGUUCGGAAACGGACGCUAAUACCGCAUACGUCCUACGGGAGAAAGCAGGGGACCUUCGGGCCUUGCGCUAUCAGAUGAGCCUAGGUCGGAUUAGCUAGUUGGUGGGGUAAUGGCUCACCAAGGCGACGAUCCGUAACUGGUCUGAGAGGAUGAUCAGUCACACUGGAACUGAGACACGGUCCAGACUCCUACGGGAGGCAGCAGUGGGGAAUAUUGGACAAUGGGCGAAAGCCUGAUCCAGCCAUGCCGCGUGUGUGAAGAAGGUCUUCGGAUUGUAAAGCACUUUAAGUUGGGAGGAAGGGCAGUAAAUUAAUACUUUGCUGUUUUGACGUUACCGACAGAAUAAGCACCGGCUAACUCUGUGCCAGA
rnacentral:rRNA from 1 species